rnacentral:tRNA from 1 species
AGCAGCAUGGUUUAGUGGCAAAAGCGUGGGCUUGGGAGCCAGAGGCCGUGGGUUCGAAUUCCGCCUCUGCCA